UACGUAGGUGGCAAGCGUUGUCCGGAAUUAUUGGGCGUAAAGCGCGCGCAGGUGGUUCCUUAAGUCUGAUGUGAAAGCCCACGGCUCAACCGUGGAGGGUCAUUGGAAACUGGGGAACUUGAGUGCAGAAGAGGAAAGUGGAAUUCCAAGUGUAGCGGUGAAAUGCGUAGAGAUUUGGAGGAACACCAGUGGCGAAGGCGGCAUCCUGGACCGGUAUUGACGCUGAGGAGCGAAAGCCAGGGGAGCAAACGGG
rnacentral:rRNA from 1 species